rnacentral:lncRNA from 1 species
ACGAACUUCGCCCACGCCCCCCACCAAGGCUAUAGCCCACACUUUUUUGGGCCAUUUUUCGGCGGGGGGGGGUGGCAACCCGACCUUCGGGAGAUCAUUUUUGGGCGCGGCUGUGCCCGUGGCCUAUUUUUGGCACACGGAGGCCGCCCGCAAAGUCUGGGGCCUUUCCGAGUCCGGCGGACGAACUUCGCCCACGCCCCCCACCAAGGCUAAAGGCCACCUGUUUUUCGGCCAAUUUUCCGCUGGGGGGUGUUGGCGCCCCGACCUUCGGGCGCUCAUUUUUUGGCGCGGCUGUGCCCGUGGCCUAUUUUUGGCGCACGGAGGCCGCCCGCAAAGUCUGGGGCCAUUCCGAGUCCGGCGGACGAACUUCGCCCACGCCCCCCGCCAAGGCUAUAGCCCACCCGUUUUUUGGCCAUUUUCCGCUGGCGGGUGUUGGAACCCGACCUUCGGGAGCUCAUUUUUGGGCGCGGCUGUGCCCGUGGCCUAUUUUUGGCACACGGAGGCCGCCCGCAAAGUCUGGGGCCUUUCCGAGUCCGGCGGACGAACUUCGCCCACGCCCCCCACCACGGCUAUAGCCCACACGUUUUUUGGCCAAUUUUCCGCUGGGGGGUGUUGGAACCCGACCUUCGGGAGCUCAUUUUUGGGCGCGGCUGUGCCCGUGGCCUAUUUUUGGCACACGGAGGCCGCCCGCAAAGUCUGGGCCCAUUCCGAGUCCGGCGGACGAACUUCGCCCACGCCCCCCACCGAGGCUAUAGCCCACCCGUUUUUUGGCCAUUUUUCCGCUGGGGGGUGUUGGCGCCCCGACCUUCGGGCGCUCAUUUUUGGGCGCGGCUGUACCCGUGGCCUAUUUUUGGCACACGGAGGCCGCCCGCAAAGUCUGGGGCCAUUCCGAGUCCGGCGGACGAACUUCGCCCACGCCCCCCUCCAAGGCUAUAGCCCACCCGUUUUUUGGCCAUUUUUCCGCUGGGGGGUGUUGGCGCCCUGACCUUCGGGCGCUCAUUUUUGGGCGCGGCUGUGCCCGUGGCCUAUUUUUGGCACACGGAGGCCGCCCGCAAAGUCUGGGGCCAUUCCGAGUCCGGCGGACGAACUUCGCCCACGCCCCCCACGAAGGCUAUAGCCCACACGUUUUUUGGCCAAUUUUCCGCUGGCGGGUGUUGGAACCCGACCUUUGGGAGCUCAUUUUUGGGCGCGGCUGUGCCCGUGGCCUAUUUUUGGCACACGGAGGCCGCCCGCAAAGUCUGGGGCCUUUCCGAGUCCGGCGGACGAACUUCGCCCACGCCCCCCACCACGGCUAUAGCCCACACGUUUUUUGGCCAAUUUUCCGCUGGGGGGUGUUGGGACCCGACCUUCGGGAGCUCAUUUUUGGGCGCGGCUGUGCCGUGGCCUAUUUUUGGCACACGGAGGCCGCCCGCAAAGUCUGGGGCCUUUCCGAGUCCGGCGGACGAACUUCGCCCACGCCCCCCACCAAGGCUA